rnacentral:lncRNA from 1 species
GCUGGAGGAGGUGGGCUGCGGUGGGUGUGGCUCUGGGGCUUAUGUUUUGUCCUGUUCAGCAGAGCUCUCUCUCUCUGCUUGCUGGUCAUCAUGUCCUGAGCUGCCUUCCUCCUCCACACUUUUCUGCCACGAUGUUCUGCCUCCCCUCAGCCCCCUAGCAAUGGAGCUGGUCAUCUAUGGACUGAGACCUCUGACACUUUUCCCCCUCUAGAAUUGCUCGUCAGGUCUCUGGGUCACAGUGGCAAGAAAGCACUUAGCAUGAGAUGAGUUGGCAAGCACACAGCCCUUGGAAGGAAUCCGUCCCUUGGAUUUGGUGUGCAGCAAAUGUGCACGUCUGUGAUUUUUACUGGUUUGUGUCAGUUUCUCAGGAUCCCUUCAGCAGGAAGAGGAGCCAUGCUAGGCCCAGGAGGUACAGCGUGGGUGAGAGAUGGUCCCUGCAAGUGAGAAGGACGUGAGUCGGAUCACGGGCUGGCAGGCAGCAGCCAUCUGCGGCAGGCCUCUGUGGGGUGAAGCGUGAGCUCCCCCACAGCGUGCGGAGGGGCUGGGGCUGGAAGGAGCCUCGCCGAGGAGCCCUCUCCAGGAGAACAGGACGAAGCCAGCCAAGGGCACAGAGGGACGGGGACAGAGGGAGUGGGUCACAGAGCCAGGGGACCAUGGUGCAGGUUGGCAGAGGCUUGUGGAGGAGCAGGGAGGGGCUGAGAGCCAACCUGGAGGUCAUGGGGGUGCUGUGGCAUGGGCAGGGGAGUGCCCCGUGGGGAAUGGCGAGCCCGAGGGUCCUUCUUGGGUCCACAGGGCUGCUGGUCCACAGGGAGGAGGAGUGUCCCCACGGCAUGUCCUGUGUGGGUGGUGGUGUGUCCCGUGGAGCCUCCACACUGGGACCUGUCAUCCCAGCUCUGAGUCUGUGGACCUGGCAUGGAGCAGGCAGCUGGACGCAGCUGGAAGGGAGACCACCCAGGCUGGACGUGGGUUUGGGAGGCACCAGCGGCUCCUCCUCCUGGGCAUGCCCUGGACCUCAGUCUUUAGGUUGGCAAGGAUUUUAAAAAAUGAAAGAAUCAGGUAGAAGUGUGAUGGAAUGGGCCUGUGGUCACCCCGCUGGUGUCAGGUUGGAAGAAGAGGCCACGUGUGAGUCCAGGUGUGGGACGUCUCCCUGCACUGGGGAGUGGGGACCUGGGACUUCGUCAAGUGGCUUCCUCCCCUGUGGGCUGGCAGGGAGGGCCAGGGAGGAGGGUGACCCAAUGUCUGCAUGAUCAGCUGCCAUGGCCAAAUCACUGCCAAGUGACCCCCAAAUAACAGUGCUUGAAGACACGGACAUCCUAGUGAGCCAGAUUUGCUUUCUUUGCUUUUUUCCCUCCCAGGAUGUGUGUCACCUGGGGAAGGAGGGAGCUUCACCUCAGCUUGGCUGGAGCCACAGUGGAACUCUGCCAUGGGGGAGUCCACUGUCCUCUCUCCUGUCCCCCUCUUGCCGUCCAUCAUUCAACGUGGACUUGCAGAUGGCUGAGGACUUAGCAUCUUCCCCUCUCCAGCUGCCCGGAACUGUUGGCAGCCUGGCUGGUGCUUGGUGGUGCGGGUCCCAGGCCCACUCUUCUGUCCAGUUGUCUGUCCAGCUCCUCUGGCCACAGCCAGCAGGUGUAGGCACAGGAGUCCCUCGGAGCCCCGUGAGGUGGGCCAGGAGGCCAGGCCUGGGAGGACCAGAGAAGGGAGCCAGUACCGUGCCAGCAGCAGGAUCCUCAGGACCCAUGGUGCAAAUCGAGCUCAGGGCCUGGCUGGGGCUUCCAGGUGCUUCCCUGACCCGGCAGGGCAGCCCGUGGCCCUUCCUGGGCUGCUCAGAGGUGAGAGGAAGCAGGAGCCACAUCCGGCCACACCGGCUCCUCCCCUCUGGACUCUCAGGAGGUGUCCCCACAGAACUGCCUGGGGGCCUCCCCACCAGGAAGGGUCUGGGCACGAGUCUGGCACAUCCGAGGCGGAGCUCCCUCCCACAGAGCCCUUCCCGAGGGGCCGGGCACGCCCCUCCCGGCUGCAGCGCUCCACGCCUGCCCUCCCAUGGGUGCCUGUCUGCUGCCUGGCUUCCUGCUGAGCUGCGUCAGGUCACCCUUCCUCUGCCCAUCACUCCCCGGCACCCAACCGCUUAAUGUGCAAAGGAACUUUCCAGCAAUUCUUCAAAGAAUCUUCGUGCAAAACAGCUGAGCCCUCCUGUUCGCCCUACCCCUUCUCCCAUCCGUUUUGUAGUCGCCACCGUAGAGUUGACAAAGGCAGGAGCGGUUACUUUGACUUCCAAGCAGAUGCUGUGUCCCCUGGGCCAGGACGAAGCCACAGCUUCCCGAGCGGGGUGCUGCAGCAGGCCCCCUGAGGGCUGCUCUUCCUCCGGGUGCCUCCAGCCUCCGCCCCGGCUCUCAGAGGCCCACCGAGGUCACAGCCCCCGCGCACACCUUCGCACACCUUGCUUAUUUCCCAUUUCAGGGUACUCUGCUGACUCCUGCCCUGGUCUGGGAGCUUCAGCACCACACCUGCAUUUAGUGUCUCUAACAGACAGAAUGAAACAGGGUCAGGAGAAGAGUCACGUCACCUCGACGUGCUCAGCAGGCCCUCGGCUCGCACUCUCCCAGGGCCGGGCUGCCCCUCCCUUCCUGUACCCCCAGACGGCAGGCUCCUUUGUCUGAUCAUUACCUGGGCAAAUUUGCCUGAUGAUAGAAAAACUGAUCCUGCAGUUGGUCCCCAUCCAGAUGUCCUCAGGACAAGAGGCUCAUUUCAUCUCCUGUUUCCCAAAUGAAGCUUUAAAUCUAAUUAGAUCUUGAAAGAAAAUAGCUGGGACAUGGCUUCUGAAAGUAAAGGGCUUCUCGUUGGAAUAGUGUUCUUGUUUGUUUAUGUUUUGAGGCUCGCAGCAGCGAGGGGGAUGUUCGCUGGGCUGCAGGGUGUCCCUGACGGGGUCCUUGGGGCAGAGCACUGGAGCAGGUCACGAGCCUCUCUAGACCAGGAGUCCAGCUGUUCAACGCUUCGCAGUGUGAGGGCACCGUGCAGCCCGCCAUGGCCUUUCAUGGAGCAGAGACCCAGUGAACAUUUGGGAAUAAGUGAAUUCACGCUCAUCCAUCACCUGGUCGCCCCAGAGCAGCUGUUUUAUUAAGGAUGAGCUUUUUCAUGUUAGUUUGGAAUGGGAGGCUUGAAGGGAGAAGACCUGAAUAUUUUUAACUAUUUCAAUGUCUUGAGAAGAGACAAGUCUGCUACAGAAUGAGGGCCCAGAGAUCACCGGCCUUCUUGCUGACUCUGGCAAGUGCAGCCCCUUGACCUUGGAUCAGAACUGUGAAAUGAAAAAACUUCUUUCUUUUAUAAAGCAGACUGCCUCAGGUAUUUUCUUGUAGUAACACAAUAGGGACGUUUAACACAAGUUCCCUAUUAAGAGGCCCACAGUGAACCUUAGGCUGGAUUUGUGGCUUAGUCAAACACCUUUGAAAUCAGCUGUCUGCCUAAGCAUUUUUUUCAUAAAUGUAUAUCAUAACCAGAAAGGUAGAUUUCCACCAUAUUCACGUUGUAGUAAGGAAGUCAGAGGCCUCAGCAGGCUGGCGAGGCGGACGGCCACAUGGAAGCAGCAAUCCCGGACACGGCUCCCAGGCAGCACUGUCCGUGGCCCCGGCUCCCAGUUCAAGGUCAGGAGAGUGCGAUAGAUAAAUGGUGAGUUCCCAUCCCACAGUAAAAGCGCUAACCCUGGAAUGUCUUGGAGGAGAGCUUCCUGUUCCGUGGGAAUUCUGUCCGUGCUUCAGUUCUUUUGGAUUCUCCGCCACGUGGUGAGACCAACACACGAGCCUGUGGACCCACUCUGGGGGGAUUUGUAAAUAUCUGUGAGACUCGAAUUGAAGAUCAAAAAUAAAACUGAGCCCGGCUCUCAGGUUUCCUCCGAGCCCCUGCCUUGGGGACAGCACAGUAAUUAGGACAGAGGAUAUCGAGAUUAUGCCUCAAACAAACUGGGGCAGAGCUUCUUUAAGCUCUACCGACUAUUUUUAUCUCAGAGGCCAAAAACAUGAAUUUCAGUACUGAGCUUAACUCGGCUUCCGCAUAAUGUCGCAAAGUCAGUGGCGGGAGACCUUGGCUCUGGGGUCACCAGGCCCCACCAGAGGGGCGGCUGGGGCUGGCCCUGCUCCCUGGGGAAGGGCAAUGGUCUUGGUCAGGCCCAGGCCCAGCCCCAGGUUCCUUGCCCCGGGGGCUGGUUUUCCACUCGGUGAGUUAAAGGGCUGGGCUGGCGCAGUGGACAGCACGGGCCCAGGUGCUCAGGCCGUGGCUGGCACUCCUGGCUCUGCUGUGUCCACCGGGACUCCGGGGGCCUCUGUCUGUCCCACCUGUAGGAGCCCCUCCCGAGGUUCAUGGGAGAAGGGCCGGCCCGCCGCCUUGGUUCUGGGUCUUGCCAGCAGAACCUCCCUGCAGAGGGGGAGAUGGACUCGAAGGGGAGCCUCCCUCAGGGACACUGAGUUGUGUUUUUCGGGGAGGCAGCAACCAGGUCUGGGCAUCUGCCUGUGAGUUACAGGGGUUUUGCUGAUUUCAGAACACCCAACAAACCAUAGCAGAGUAAGGACAGAAUCAAAGAAGUAAACUUGAGUAUUUUCCCUUCUUUUAAUGCAACGUUUUUGUUAAUAAAGGGGCAAUUAUAUUACAACACUUACAAGUUUUGAAAUGGAGUGACUUAGAUGUCCCUUUGAGUCCAGUUUCCUCGUCUGUGAAGAGGGGGUAACCCCUACAUCUGUCCCUCAGGCUGCUGUGAGGUCAGCUGUGAUCGGAC